rnacentral:rRNA from 1 species
UACGUAGGCAGCGAGCGUUGUUCGGAAUUACUGGGCGUAAAGAGUGUGUAGGCGGCCAGAUAAGUCCGCUGUGAAAUCUCGAGGCUCAACUUCGAGCUGUCGGUGGAAACUGUCUGGCUAGAGUCCGGAAGAGGAGAAUGGAAUUCCUGGUGUAGCGGUGAAAUGCGCAGAUAUCAGGAAGAACACCCGUGGCGAAGGCGGUUCUCUGGGACGGUACUGACGCUGAGACGCGAAAGCGUGGGGAGCGAACAGG